CCCGGGAGGCUCGCGGUGGCAAGUCGGAAGCGUUCGCACCAGCGAGGCAGCGGCCGGGGCAGCGGCGGCGGUCAGGACGGGAGUGGGAAGGGCCGGUCCGGGCAGGUUGCUAGUCCCUUGCUCCUGGCAGGCCGACCCAAGAGCGCGAUCCCGUGCAGAGCCCGGACGCUGCCCUGCCCCGGAUUUCGUUCCGCGGCUGGGGGAUCGGCGAGCGGAAUUCCGGGCGGCUGCAGCGACUCCGGUGCAAGGCGAAGAAGGUGGCAUGAGCGACCCCUGAAUGUGCAUUUGGGCAUAUUUAGCCAUUUGGUUUUGAUUAGGAGAAAGAAGACGGCCAUCCCUGUGAAAGGCAAAGCUUCUGUGCCUGAGGAGGUUGUGGAUUUUGAGUAUCAAGAACAGUGAAGUUGGAGCUACCAGAGGAUGUAUGAAAGAGAUGCAGAUCAUAAGGAAGUCUGAUGAAGAAAAGUAACAACGUGAUUCAGG